AGUGAACGCUGGCGGUAGGCCUAACACAUGCAAGUCGAACGGCAGCACAGUAAGAGCUUGCUCUUACGGGUGGCGAGUGGCGGACGGGUGAGGAAUACAUCGGAAUCUACUUUUUCGUGGGGGAUAACGUAGGGAAACUUACGCUAAUACCGCAUACGACCUACGGGUGAAAGCAGGGGAUCUUCGGACCUUGCGCGAUUGAAUGAGCCGAUGUCGGAUUAGCUAGUUGGCGGGGUAAAGGCCCACCAAGGCGACGAUCCGUAGCUGGUCUGAGAGGAUGAUCCGCCACACUGGAACUUAGACACGGUCCAGACUCCUACGGGAGGCAGCAGUUGGGAAUAUUGGGCAAUGGGCGGAAGCCUGAUCCAGCCAUGCCGCGUGGGUGAAGAAGGCCUUCGGGCUGUAAAACCCUUUUGUUGGGAAAGAAAAGCAGCAGGUUAAUACCCCGCUGUUCUGACGGUACCCAAAGAAUAAGCACCGGCUAACUUCGUG
rnacentral:rRNA from 1 species